GCUCGAAAAGGGCAAAACAUCCGAAAGGAUGUGACGCAAAGCCAACGGCCUAAGUCCAGUGAUCUGGAGAUGGCGGCAGGGCUGCCGAG
rnacentral:ncRNA from 1 species